GACGUAGGGCGCGAGCGUUGUCCGGAUUUAUUGGGCGUAAAGAGCUCGUAGGCGGCUUGUUGCGUCGACUGUGAAAACCCGCGGCUUAACUGCGGGCUUGCAGUUGAUACGGGCAGGCUAGAGUUCGGUAGGGGAGACUGGAAUUCCUGGUGUAGCGGUGAAAUGCGCAGAUAUCAGGAAGAACACCCGUGGCGAAGGCGGCUCUCUGGUACGUGACUGACGCUGAGACGCGAAAGCGUGGGGAGCAAACAGG
rnacentral:rRNA from 1 species